AGCAUUAUGAAAAUAUAUAAAGUGAAACCUGCCCGGUGAUUUUUUAACGGCCGCAGUACCUUGACUGUGCUAAGGUAGCAUAAUAAUUUGACUUUUAAUUGAAGCCUUGUAUGAAAGGAAUAAUGGAUAGUCUCUGUCUCUAAAUAAUUUAUUUAAAGUUACUUAAAAGGUGAAAAUACCUUUAAUUAUUUAAUAGACGAGAAGACCCUAGGAGUUUACAUAGUAUAAUUAUUUUGUUGGGGCGACAUUACAGCACUAUUAACCUGUAAAUAAAUAUAAAACUUUACGAAAAAUUUUAAUUAAGAUUAAACUACCCUAGGGAUAACAGCAUAAUUUUAUUUAAGUUUGUGACCUCGAUGUUGGACUAGGAAUUUUUAAUAUUAACAGUAUUAAAAAUAUGUUCUGUUCGAACAAUAUUUCCUACAU
rnacentral:rRNA from 1 species